UUAAUACUCCCUCCGUUCCAUAAUUCUUGUCAAAAUAUUGAAUGUAUCUAGACGCUUUUUAAGAAGAUAUACAUCCAUUUUUGGACAAAUUUGAGACAAGAAUUAUGAAACGGAGGAAGUAUUAA
rfam:Brachypodium distachyon strain Bd21 chromosome 4, whole genome shotgun sequence.